CUGACUUAAAAGAAACAUACUUAAAAACGAAGCAAUUCAGUGAGAAGAAAACUUCUUCCACUUAAGGGAUGAAACAAUUUGUAGAAUUCAUCCUUUCAGGACCAGCCUUUAGACUAAAAAGAAAACAAAUAUUACAUACCCUGAAUCUGUGCUGAAACCACAAAGGAGAGCAUCUUUGGAUCCUUCCAAGUAAUAAAAAUAUUCUGUUGAAGAAGAAUUUGAACAGUUAUAACAUCACAGACUUUAAUCUGUGAUUGUGAUAAAGGAGGUCAAAUUAAAAAAUCUGAUUAUUGGGAGACUUUUGGAGUAAUCAUGGAAGAAAGACUAUGAAAUCAGAUAUUCUUGGAUUUGAAUGUUGCUUCUAUCCCUUCUUAACUUAAAUCCAUGGGCAUUCAUUAUCAUCAGUGCCUAACCUGGCAGAACCACAGUCUACACAUAAUCUGGCAUCUGUCUUUUCCAUGCUGGCUACCAAAUGGCUGAAUGUUGGUGGAGAAACUCUCACAACCAAGUGAAUGGUUAUAUUUUAAUUUCGCUCUUGUUGCCCAGGCUGGAGUGCAAUGGCACGAUCUCGGCUCACCGCAACCUCUGCCUCCCGAGUUCAAGCGAUUCUCCUGCCUCAGCCUCCUGAGUAGCUGGAAUUACAGGCGCCCACCACCAUGCCCGGCUAAUUUUUUGUAUUUUUAGUAGAGACGGGGUUUCUUUUUUUUUCUUCUUUUUUUGUAUUAUUUUUUAGCAAAAAAAAAAAAAAAUACAUGAAGCAAUUCCAGAAAGCGAUGAAUUAAAUUAAAUUUGAUUAAAGGCUGUCUGUGUACAUAGAGAAUUGCAAUCUAACUUCAUAUGUAAACAAAUUGCAUUCUAAUCUAUUAGUAUAUUCUUGUAACAAGUAGCUGUCUCAGCCAAUCACAGCAGCUGAGCUUCAGCCAACCACAGCCUGCUGAUUUAUCAGACAAUGUCCACAUAAGGCAAAUGUCAAGCUAUAAGCAAUCAAGCUGUUUUUGUGCGUCACUCCCUUUUUCUGUCUAUAAAUACUCCUGCUCAUGUUGCUGAGUUGAGCUCUCCGAACUUCUCUUGGUUCUGAGUGCUGCCUAAAUCAUUAUUAUUAUUAUCUUAUUUCAGCAAUAAAUACUAUUUCAUUGCUGAAAUAAGCUGCUAAAUUUAAUUUGUUGAAAAUUUUUCUUUUAACAAAGGUUAAGAAAACCAUUCACAGUAUAAACUCAGAAAUAGGAGCAAGACUCAGAAUAAAAGGACAGAUCCCAGUGAGAAAACUUAAGUUUAAAUAAGUGUGGUAAAAUAAUCUACAAUAUUAAAUGUAAGUUACUCAUCAGAUAUAUUAAUUUUACAGCAUAUAAAUUAAGAAAUAAAAUUCUCCAUCCAUUGGAAAUAAGUUUCAAAUCAUGUUUGUAACAAUCAGAAACUGGAAAAGAGGGUAAAUAUAAAAAGAAGGGGAAAAUAUGCUAAAUUCCUCAUCAAAUGGUGGUAGUAAAAAUAUAUAUGCUAAACAUUUUACUUCAAAACUUUCAGUUUUCUUGUUAAGGCUUCUAUUUUUUUCUGUCAUUUUAUUUAUAGUCUUUUACCAUGUGGGCUAGGUGUUAUUUGAUUUUAUUUAUCACAGUGAGUGAGAAAGGACACAUUUGGUAAAAUAAGAAAAUGAUGUAUAUUACUUUUUAUUAUCUAAGGAGAAUCCUGACCUUUCCUCCCUCAUUUCCUUUUGGCAACAGCACAUAUAUUUGAAAGGUUUCGUGACUUCCAUACCACACCUGGGUCAAAUUAUCUAUUAAGAUUUAUGUAUUCACGUGGGCACCAUCAGAUAGAUACAUUCCAGGUGUCAGACAGAAAGUACAAUCUUGAUCAUAUCUUCAUCCAAUAUUCAUCAACCGUUCCAGUGAGAGACACCAUGCUAGGGGAUAAUUGUUUAGAGAACAUUCAAUUCAUGCUUUAUGUAAGAAACUCUAAUUGAUACUUCUGAAUUAAGCAGACUUCUGAGAGUGCAUACAGAUGAUCUCAUGUGGUACCUACAGAAAUAAUUCUACUGAACUAAACUUUGAUAUCUUGCCAUCAGCCUAUAUUGAAGGAAGCCAUUAAAAACAGCUAUGAAACUCGUCAUUGGUUACAAAGUGGAUGUUGAUAAAGCUGAGCAAAUGAUUUUGCUUUGUACAAAUCUUUAGGAAUACUAUCAAGAUACAGAUACUAUCUUUAUAUUUGAUAAUUAAUAUUAUCAUUAUAUAUGAUUAAUAGAACUUUAAGAUGUUAUAGUUAUG
rnacentral:lncRNA from 10 species